AUUCAAACACUGGUUUUCAUAUGAUUACUGAAGUUAAGCAAUGUUGAGCCUGGUCAGUAUCUAGAUGGGUGACUGCUUGGGAGUACCGGGUGCUGUAAG